rnacentral:rRNA from 1 species
CUCUGGGCUGUAACUGACGCUGAGGAGCGAAAGCAUGGGGAGCGAACAGGAUUAGAUACCCUGGUAGUCCAUGCCGUAAACGUUGGGCACUAGGUGUGGGGACCAUUCCACGGUUUCCGCGCCGCAGCUAACGCAUUAAGUGCCCCGCCUGGGGAGUACGGCCGCAAGGCUAAAACUCAAAGGAAUUGACGGGGGCCCGCACAAGCGGCGGAGCAUGCGGAUUAAUUCGAUGCAACGCGAAGAACCUUACCAAGGCUUGACAUGUUCUCGAUCGCCGUAGAGAUACGGUUUCCCCUUUGGGGCGGGAUCACAGGUGGUGCAUGGUUGUCGUCAGCUCGUGUCGUGAGAUGUUGGGUUAAGUCCCGCAACGAGCGCAACCCUCGUUCCAUGUUGCCAGCACGUAAUGGUGGG